GCCCCCGUAGCUCAGCAGGAUAGAGCGUCGGUUUCCUAAACCGCAGGUCGGAGGUUCGAAUCCUCUCGGGGGUA
rnacentral:tRNA from 1 species